UACGAAGGGGGGCUAGCGUUGCUCGGAAUCACUGGGCGUAAAGGGUGCGUAGGCGGGUCUUUUAAGUCAGGGGUGAAAUCCUGGAGCUCAACUCCAGAACUGCCUUUGAUACUGAAGAUCUUGAGUUCGGGAGAGGUGAGUGGAACUGCGAGUGUAGAGGUGAAAUUCGUAGAUAUUCGCAAGAACACCAGUGGCGAAGGCGGCUCACUGGCCCGGUACUGACGCUGAGGUGCGAAAGCGUGGGGAGCAAACAGG
rnacentral:rRNA from 1 species